GUAACCAAGGACAGCAAAGAACCCGCCCCUGCCUGAGCCGCUCUCCAAUCAACAGCCUCUCUUCCCGAAGUCUGCAGGAGUUCUUCCCGCCGAUUCGUCAACUGUCCCGCCUGUCAGAGUGUGCCUCUCGUGCAGAAUGCCUGGGGCACGUGACUGUGACGGCAUGAAUUGACGCAUGCGCGCCAUUCUCGGCGUUGCUGGCGGCGGCGCUUUUGCUCGCGACCGGGGGCCACCUAGAGCGCCCUUGGUUUUCUCACCUGCGCAACCCUUCCGGUUUUGAGCAGCAUUUAUCGUACUUCUCGCACACGCUUAGGGAAUGUCAACGGGUGCCCACAGGGAGGUGGCACUUUCUCCAAGUAAGAACAGGGAAAGAGAUCUCAGAGCUUCUCCCACACAAGAUUACAAGGUUCAUCACCUCCUCCCCUUCUCAGCAAAGACCCCUGAGGUUCAGCGCGAGUGAACAGAGAGCCGGUGGAUACCAGUCCCCUCCGGCAGCCAAUGUCAGAUCACUCUGCUACAACUUUACUGGUGAACCUGGACUAUGGAGGGAGCUCUCCCCUUAACACGGUCCCCCUCCUGCUGGGAGCGGGGACAAGACUGGGUCUGAGUC